CUGACGAGUCCCAUAUAGGACGAAACGUGCGUC
rfam:Schistosoma mansoni, Puerto Rico, WGS project CABG01000000 data, contig: 0181